GCCCCCGUAGCUCAGGCGGACAGAGCAGCGGUUUCCUAAACCGUUGGCCGGGUGUUCGAGUCACCCCGGGGGUACCG
rnacentral:tRNA from 2 species